AAACUGGUACUGAGACACGGACCAGAUUCCUACGGGAGGCAGCAGUGAGGAAUAUUGGACAAUGGGUGAGAGCCUGAUCCAGCCAUCCCGCGUGAAGGACGACUGCCCUAUGGGUUGUAAACUUCUUUUAUACAGGGAUAAACCUACCCUCGUGAGGGUAGCUGAAGGUACAGUAUGAAUAAGCACCGGCUAACUCCGUGCCAGCAGCCGCGGUAAUACGGAGGGUGCAAGCGUUAUCCGGAUUUAUUGGGUUUAAAGGGUCCGUAGGCGGACUCGUAAGUCAGUGGUGAAAUCUCAUAGCUUAACUAUGAAACUGCCAUUGAUACUGCGGGUCUUGAGUAAAGUAGAAGUGGCUGGAAUAAGUAGUGUAGCGGUGAAAUGCAUAGAUAUUACUUAGAACACCAAUUGCGAAGGCAGGUCACUAUGUUUUAACUGACGCUGAUGGACGAAAGCGUGGGGAGCGAACAGGAUUAGAUACCCUGGUAGUCCACGCCGUAAACGAUGCUAACUCGUUUUUGGGUUUUCGGAUUCAGAGACUAAGCGAAAGUGAUAAGUUAGCCACCUGGGGAGUACGUUCGCAAGAAUGAAACUCAAAGGAAUUGACGGGGGCCCGCACAAGCGGUGGAUUAUGUGGUUUAAUUCGAUGAUACGCGAGGAACCUUACCAAGGCUUAAAUGGGAAUUGACAGGUUUAGAAAUAGAUCCUUCUUCGGACAAUUUUCAAGGUGCUGCAUGGAGGUCGUCAGCUCGUGCCGUGAGGUGUUAGGUUAAGUCCUGCAACGAGCGCAACCCCUGUCACUAGUUGCCAUCAUUCAGUUGGGGACUCUAGUGAGACUGCCUACGCAAGUAGAGAGGAAGGUGGGGAUGACGUCAAAUCAUCACGGCCCUUACGCCUUGGGCCACACACGUAAUACAAUGGCCGGUACAGAGGGCAGCUACUAUGCGAAUAGAUGCGAAUCUCGAAAG
rnacentral:rRNA from 1 species